GGGUCAGUAGGUUGGUCGUGCCACCGGUACGUACUGGUCUCACUGAUUCCUCCUUCCUGAAGAACCGUAAUGCCAUUAAUUUGGUGGUGCGGGGAAACAGGACUGUUACUUUGAAAAAAGUAGAGUUUUUAAAGCAAGCUAACGCUUGAAUACAUUAGCAUGGAAUAAUGAAAUAGGACGAUCGAUCCUAUUUUGUUGGUUUCUAGGAUUGACGUA
rnacentral:rRNA from 1 species